rnacentral:RNase_P_RNA from 1 species
ACAGCGAACCAGCUUGUCGCUGCUCUGUCUUCCUCUUUCGGGAGGGAUGCAGAGGAGAGGAAAGUCCGGGCAACACAGGGCUUCCCGCUUCCUAACAGGAAGAGGUCCGUGAGGGUCAGUAAGUGCAGAAGAAAAUAACCGCUGGAAAGUGUUGCCGAAGGCAACCGCUUUUCCAGCAAGGGUGAGAAGGUGAGGUAAGAGCUCACCAGGCCGGCAGCGAUGUCUGGUGCUGUGCACUCCGGGAGUUGAAAGUUCAUGUAAACCGGCGAACCUUGGCUCGAUGCAAGUCGGCCGAGAGAGAGGGCUGCCCGUCCGAGCCGGAGGGUAGAACGAUAGAGGACAACGGCGACGUUGCCCGUAGAUAAAUGACAAGCUUCCCCGUUCGGGGAAUACAGAACCCGGCUUAUAGGUUCGCUGGCUUU